rfam:Lentinula edodes NBRC 111202 DNA, contig: scaffold17.
UCCGAUAUGGUGUAGUGGCUAACAUUAUCGCCUCUCAUUUAUUGUACGCGAUAGCCCGGGGUUCGAUUCCCCGUGUCGGAA